rnacentral:rRNA from 1 species
CCUACGGGUGGCAGCAGUGAGGAAUAUUGGUCAAUGGACGAGAGUCUGAACCAGCCAAGUAGCGUGAAGGAUGACUGCCCUAUGGGUUGUAAACUUCUUUUAUAUAGGAAUAAAGUGAUGCACGUGUGGGUUUUUGUAUGUACCAUAUGAAUAAGGAUCGGCUAACUCCGUGCCAGCAGCCGCGGUAAUACGGAGGAUCCGAGCGUUAUCCGGAUUUAUUGGGUUUAAAGGGAGCGUAGGUGGAUUGUUAAGUCAGUUGUGAAAGUUUGCGGCUCAACCGUAAAAUUGCAGUUGAAACUGGUAGCCUUGAGUACAGUAGAGGUGGGCGGAAUUCGUGGUGUAGCGGUGAAAUGCUUAGAUAUCACGAAGAACUCCGAUUGCGAAGGCAGCUUACUAGACUGCAACUGACACUGAGGCUCGAAAGUGUGGGUAUCAAACAGGAUUAGAUACCCCUGUAGUC